rnacentral:snRNA from 1 species
GUGCUCGCUUCGGCAGCACAUAUACUGAAAUUGGAACGACACAGGCAAGAUUAGCACGACCCCUGCACAAGGAUCACACACACACACACACACACACACACACACACA